UAAAUAUUUCCAGGUACAGGUGUCCGCAAGGACAUAAUAGAGAAACCGGUUAAAAGCCGGUGCGGUCCCGCCACUGUAAUGGGGAGCGAAUCCAUGAUAUGCCACUGAGACGAUGGUCUUGGGAAGGUUUGGAGGAGUGAUGAUCCUAAGCCAGGAGAACUGCCUGUACAACAAUCACCGU
rnacentral:ncRNA from 2 species